AUAGCGCUAGAGACUGGUACCUGCUUCAGCGAGAACGUUAUGACAGUGUGACAAGAGAGUUAAAAAACUACAGCCGUGAGGUUGUGUGGACUGAAAGGCUAGCUAAGCUGCUUAAUGUGGUAUACGUGCUGGGUAUGCCUUUUAUCGUUGGCCCUUUGGUCUUAAAAGGGAUUGCCAUUCGGAGAAUGUGAGGGGGUAGCAGCCAUACACUGCUUCGUUUAUUACUGCUGAUGCAUGUGAACUCGUAGUUCAGCACUCUCUUUGUGUUAACUGCCUGACUUGCAAGAGCAGAUAACCAUAUGGGAAUAAUGGCUUGUUGCGUCUGUGUCUUGACCCGCAUUGCGUCGCGGAUAACCUCGUGAUUAUGGCUUUAUGUAGAUUUGUGCAAGCGUAGUUGUUUGCUGUAAUGGUUUCUUGCACUUGUUUGCCGUUAACUUAUGUCUGUCCCUAUGGAGCUACUGUUUCUGAGUGGUGUUGGGUUUCUCCAGGUGCGCUUUGUUGGCCCUGAUUUAUGUACACUGGACUGCUAUGUGCAGCGCCAACUUUGCUCUGUGCAGAGCUAAGCUAUUAGCGAAAUCAUAUGGCUUAAGAUUA